GGAAGUAAAAGUCGUAACUAGGUCUCCGUAGGUGAACCUGCGGAGGGAUCAUUACAGAGUUCUCGCCCUCGCGGGUAGAUCUCCCACCCACUGUUAUCGUUACUGUGUUGCUUUGGCGGGCCGCCGGGCCCCGCUCGGCCGCCGGCUCCGGCUGGCGCGCGCCCGCCAGAGGCCCAGCAAACUCUGAAUGUUAGUGUCGUCUGAGUACUAUAUAAUAGUUAAAACUUUCAACAACGGAUCUCUUGGUUCUG
rnacentral:misc_RNA from 1 species